rnacentral:lncRNA from 1 species
ACACCUGACGUCGUACCGACGUUGGUUAGACGUUGGAUUUUGGUCGCGACGUCGGCGACUUGGAUCCAACGUUUAACCAACGUCAUAUCCACGACGUCUAAUAGACGUCAGACUUAGACGUCUAAAAGACGUUGGAAUUAGGUUGGAUAGAAAGUCUGAUAAAUGUUUUUAGUUAUAAAACUAACUGGUACAAUUUUACUAGUAUAGUUUAAAGAUAUUUACUUGUUUUCAUAAAGGCCUGGACAUGCACUUAUUAAUAAUAGUUCAUUCUCACAACAAACAUUAUAUUAAUUUAAUUAAUAUAAAUGUUACAAUAUCGCAUGAGAUUGUCUGCUUUCGGAGUCGGAUUCUUUUCACGAACUUUAAACUGUUCAAGAUAAAUAUGCAUUCUAUACACAUGUAUAGAUUAUUCUAAAUUCACAAAGAUCUUCUCUUCUACACAUGCUGUCUACCAGUCACACAUUCGCGAGAUAAGCCUGCAUCGGUUUACACAGUCUUCCUGCAAUUUGAUAUUUAUUGGGAUAAGAUAGAGCAAGUUUAUAAAUACUUUACACAAAGAGAAGGAUCCGCAACGUGGAAAUGUUGGCGGAAUUGAAGAAUCAUACAAAAAUGAUGAAACUUGAAAGUUUCAAAUACUGCAUUACUUUUUGGACCUAUUGUAUUAGACUUACGUCGCCAUAAUAUGAAAUAAAGAUGAUAAAAUA